rfam:Halothermothrix orenii H 168, complete genome.
GAUUAAGCUAGUAAGGGCUUACGGUGGAUGCCCUGGCACCUGAAGCCGAUGAAGGGCGUGCUAAGCUGCGAAAAGCCUCGUGGAGCUGCUAAGGAGCGUAGAAGCGGGGAUACCCGAAUGGGGCAACCCACCGGAGAGGAGCUCCGGUAUGUGCAGCUGAAAGAAGUAGGCUGUGCAGGGGAACCGGGGGAACUGAACCAUCUCAGUACCCCGAGGAGUAGAAAUCAACCGAGAUUCUCCGAGUAGCGGCGAGCGAAAGGGGAGGAGCCCAAACACACCUGGUGGAGAAGGCUGCAGCCGUUGCCAGGUGUGGGUUUAGGAUAACCCGAACUGUGACUGCAGGCACAGGGGAGGCACUGAAAGCCUUAGCCGAAGGGCCUGGGAUGGCCCACCAUAGAGGGUGAGAGUCCCGUAGGUAAAAAGGCGGAAGGUCUCCGAGGUUAUCCAGAGUACCACCGGACACGUGGAACCCGGUGGGAAGAAGGGGGGACCAUCCUCCAAGGCUAAAUACUUCAGGUGACCGAUAGCGGAUAGUACCGUGAGGGAAAGGUGAAAAGAACCCCGGGAGGGGAGUGAAAUAGAACCUGAAACCGUAAGCCUACAAGCGGUGGGAGGACUAUUAAAAAGUCUGACCGCGUACUUUUUGCAUAACGGACCGGCGAGUUAUUCUCUGCAGCGUAAGGUUAAGCCGAAAGAGGUGAAGCCGGAGCGAAAGCGAGUCUUAACAGGGCGCAAGUUGCAGGGAAUAGACCCGAAACCGGGUGAUCUACCCAUGGCCAGGGUGAAGCGGGAGUAAGACCCCGUGGAGGCCCGAACCAGGUGGUGUUGAAAAACCAUUGGAUGAGCUGUGGGUAGGGGUGAAAAGCCAAUCGAACCCGGAGAUAGCUGGUUCUCCCCGAAAUAGCUUUAGGGCUAGCCUCAAGGCUAAAAAAGCGUAGGGAGGUAGAGCACUGAUUGGGCUAGGGGCCCACCAAGGUUACCGAACCCAUUCAAACUCCGAAUGCCCGAAGCACAGGCCUUGGGAGUCAGACUGCGGGGGAUAAGCUCCGUAGUCGAGAGGGAAACAGCCCAGAUCACCAGCUAAGGUCCCCAAGUACAGGCUAAGUGGAAAAGGAAGUGAGGUCGCUAAGACAACCAGGAUGUUGGCUUAGAAGCAGCCAUUCAUUUAAAGAGUGCGUAACAGCUCACUGGUCGAGCGGCCUUGCGCCGAAGAUGUAACGGGGCUUAAGCCUGUCACCGAAGCUGUGGGCAGGUGGCAAAAGGCCACAUGCGGUAGGGGAGCAUUCUGUGCUGGGAGAAGCUGUACCGGAAGGAGCAGUGGACGGCACAGAAGCGAGAAUGCCGGUAUGAGUAGCGAAAAGAGGGGUGAGAAUCCCCUCCGCCGGAAGCCUGAGGUUUCCUGAGGAAGGCUCGUCCGCUCAGGGUAAGCCGGGACCUAAGCCGAGGCCGAAAGGCGUAGGCGAUGGGAAAUCGGUAGAGAUUCCGAUGCCACUAUUAACCGUUUGAGCGAAGCGGGGACGCGGCGAAGAGGGCAAGCACGCGACUGGAGGAGCGUGUAUAAGCCCGAAGGAGGGAUAAGGAGGCAAAUCCCCAUAUCCAUAACUCCGGAGGGUGAUGUCGAGCCGAAUGAGGCGAAGUUGUCCAAUGAGCCGCCGAGAAAAGCCGCUAGUGAGGUUAAUAGUGCCCGUACCGGAAACCGACACAGGUAGGCAGGGAGAGAAUCCCAAGGCGCGCGAGAGAACCCUUGUUAAGGAACUCGGCAAAAUGGCCCCGUAACUUCGGGAGAAGGGGUGCCGCGAUAGGGUGAAAGCCCGAGGCGGUUGCAGUGACCAGGCCCAAGCGACUGUUUAUCAAAAACACAGGUCUCUGCUAAGUCGAAAGACGAAGUAUAGGGGCUGACGCCUGCCCGGUGCUGGAAGGUCAAGGGGAAGGCUUAGCGCAAGCGAAGGUCUGAACCUAAGCCCCAGUAAACGGCGGCCGUAACUAUAACGGUCCUAAGGUAGCGAAAUUCCUUGUCGGGUAAGUUCCGACCUGCACGAAAGGCGAAACGACUUGGGCGCUGUCUCAACAAGGGACUCGGCGAAAUUGUAGUGUGAGUGAAGAUGCUCACUACCUGCGACAGGACGGAAAGACCCCGUGGAGCUUUACUGUAGCCUGAUAUUGGGUUUUGCUACAGGAUGUACAGGAUAGGUGGGAGGCUGAGAGGCUGGUGCGCCAGCAUCAGUGGAGCCGCCGGUGGGAUACCACCCUUCCUGUAGUGAAAUUCUAACCAGUGGCCGUAAACCGGUCAUGGGACAUUGUCAGGCGGGCAGUUUGACUGGGGCGGUCGCCUCCUAAAAGGUAACGGAGGCGCCCAAAGGUUCCCUCAGUGCGGAUGGAAAUCGCACGAAGAGUGUAAAGGCAGAAGGGAGCUUGACUGCGAGACAUACAGGUCGAGCAGGGACGAAAGUCGGGCUUAGUGAUCCGGCGGUGGAGCAUGGAAUCGCCGUCGCUCAACGGAUAAAAGUUACCCCGGGGAUAACAGGCUUAUCUCCCCCAAGAGUUCACAUCGACGGGGAGGUUUGGCACCUCGAUGUCGGCUCGUCGCAUCCUGGAGCUGAAGCAGGUUCCAAGGGUUGGGCUGUUCGCCCAUUAAAGCGGUACGCGAGCUGGGUUCAGAACGUCGUGAGACAGUUCGGUCCCUAUCCGUCGCAGGCGCAGGAUACUUGAGGGGAGCCAUCCCUAGUACGAGAGGACCGGGAUGGACACACCGCUGGUGAACCAGUUGUUCCGCCAGGGGCAUAGCUGGGUAGCCAUGUGUGGAGUGGAUAAACGCUGAAAGCAUCUAAGCGUGAAGCCACCCUCAAGAUAAGGUAUCCCACUCUUUAAGGAGGUAAGACCCCUGAGAGAUGAUCAGGUAGAUAGGCCGGAGGUGGAAGCGGAGUAAUUCGUUAAGCUGACCGGUACUAAUAGGUCGAGGGCUUAAUCUC